UUCCGGUUGAUCCUGCCGGACCCGACUGCUAUCAGAGUGGGACUAAGCCAUGCGAGUCAACAUAGCAAUAUGUGGCAUACGGCUCAGUAACACGUAGUCAACAUGCCCAGGGGACGUGGAUAACCUCGGGAAACUGAGGAUAAACCGCGAUAGGUCAUCACUUCUGGAAUGGGUAAUGACUUAAAUCUAUAUGGCCCCUGGAUUGGACUGCGGCCGAUCAGGCUGUUGGUGAGGUAAUGGCCCACCAAACCUGUAACCGGUACGGGCUCUGAGAGGAGGAGCCCGGAGAUGGGCACUGAGACAAGGGCCCAGGCCCUAUGGGGCGCAGCAGGCGCGAAACCUCUGCAAUAGGCGAAAGCUUGACAGGGUUACUCUGAGUGAUUUCCGUUAAGGAGAUCUUUUGGCACCUCUAAAAAUGGUGCAGAAUAAGGGGUGGGCAAGUCUGGUGUCAGCCGCCGCGGUAAUACCAGCACCCCGAGUGGUCGGGACGUUUAUUGGGCCUAAAGCAUCCGUAGCCGGUUCUACAAGUCUUCCGUUAAAUCCACCUGCUUAACAGAUGGGCUGCGGAAGAUACUAUAGAGCUAGGAGGCGGGAGAGGCAAGCGGUACUCGAUGGGUAGGGGUAAAAUCCGUUGAUCCAUUGAAGACCACCAGUGGCGAAGGCGGCUUGCCAGAACGCGCUCGACGGUGAGGGAUGAAAGCUGGGGGAGCAAACCGGAUUAGAUACCCGGGUAGUCCCAGCUGUAAACGAUGCAGACUCGGUGAUGAGUUGGCUUAUUGCUAACUCAGUGCCGCAGGGAAGCCGUUAAGUUUGCCGCCUGGGGAGUACGGUCGCAAGACUGAAACUUAAAGGAAUUGGCGGGGAGCACCACA
rnacentral:rRNA from 1 species